GGUUAGUUAGUUAAAGUUUAUGAUGUGGAUUUUGUAAGUCUAAGUUGAUUAGUAAUCAUUAACCU
rnacentral:tRNA from 1 species